rnacentral:lncRNA from 1 species
AGCCUCUCCUAAGCUGCCUGUUCGCGCGAGAGUUUGGAGGGGCGGGUUUGGGGUCGGUGUCUGAUUGGGGCUCGCACCGCAGCACGCUGGAGUCCCGCUUAGGUACCAGUUAGCGUCAGGGGAGCUGGGUCAGGCGGUCGCCGGGACACCCCGUGUGUGGCAGGCGGCGAAGCGCUCUGGAGAAUCCCGGACAGCCCUGCUCCCUGCAGCCAGGUGUAGUUUCGGGAGCCACUGGGGCCAAAGUGAGAGUCCAGCGGUCUUCCAGCGCUUGGGCCACGGCGGCGGCCCUGGGAGCAGAGGUGGAGCGACCCCAUUACGCUAAAGAUGAAAGGCUGGGGUUGGCUGGCCCUGCUUCUGGGGGCCCUGCUGGGAACCGCCUGGGCUCGGAGGAGCCAGGAUCUCCACUGUGGAGCAUGCAGGGCUCUGGUGGAUGAACUAGAAUGGGAAAUUGCCCAGGUGGACCCCAAGAAGACCAUUCAGAUGGGAUCUUUCCGGAUCAAUCCAGAUGGCAGCCAGUCAGUGGUGGAGAGGCCCACCUCACAGAGCUGCUGGAGGAGAUAUGUGACCGGAUGAAGGAGUAUGGGGA